AUUGAACGCUGGCGGCAUGCUUUACACAUGCAAGUCGAACGGUAACAGGCCUUCGGGUGCUGACGAGUGGCGAACGGGUGAGUAAUGCAUCGGAACGUACCCAGAGGUGGGGGAUAACGCAGCGAAAGCUGUGCUAAUACCGCAUGUGAUCUGAGGAUGAAAGCGGGGGACCGAGCAGCAAUGUUUGGCCUCGCGCCUUUGGAGCGGCCGAUGUCGGAUUAGCUAGUUGGUGGGGUAAAGGCCUACCAAGGCGACGAUCCGUAGCUGGUCUGAGAGGACGACCAGCCACACUGGGACUGAGACACGGCCCAGACUCCUACGGGAGGCAGCAGUGGGGAAUUUUAGACAAUGGGCGCAAGCCUGAUCCAGCAAUGCCGCGUGCGGGAAGAAGGCCUUCGGGUUGUAAACCGCUUUUGGCAGGAACGAAACGGUGUCCGCUAAUACCGGGCGCUAAUGACGGUACCUGCAGAAUAAGCACCGGCUAACUACGUG
rnacentral:rRNA from 1 species